rnacentral:rRNA from 1 species
UUUUUUAAUUGGAGGCUGGAAUGAAAGGUAGAAGUUAUUGGGGUUUGUUUUGGGAAAAAUUUUUUGAAUUUUAAUUAAAAGUAAAAAUGCUUUUAUUAAUCUUUGGGACGAGAAGACCCUAGAAGUUUUGAAAGUGAGAGAUUUUUUGGUUGGGGUGACUAUGGAAGAUAAGAAUCUUUUUAGAAAGCUAAGAUUUUAUAUUAAAUUACUCUAGGGAUAACAGCGUAAUUUAUUUGUAAAGUUCUUAUUGAUAAUUAAGUUUGCGACCUCGAUGUUGAAUUAAAUUUUUUGAUAGGGUGAAGAAGCUUUAGUUAUGUAGUCUGUUCGACUAGUGAAUGUUUACGUGAUCUGAGUUCAGACCGGA